AGCGAACGCUGGCGGCAGGCUUAACACAUGCAAGUCGAGCGGACCUUUCGGGGUCAGCGGCGGACGGGUGAGUAACGCGUGGGAACGUGCCUUCCGGUUCGGAAUAACCCUGGGAAACUAGGGCUAAUACCGGAUACGCCCUUAUGGGGAAAGGUUUACUGCCGGAAGAUCGGCCCGCGUCUGAUUAGCUAGUUGGUGGGGUAACGGCCUUCCAAGGCGACGAUCAGUAGCUGGUCUGAGAGGAUGAUCAGCCACACUGGGACUGAGACACGGCCCAGACUCCUACGGGAGGCAGCAGUGGGGAAUAUUGGACAAUGGGCGCAAGCCUGAUCCAGCCAUGCCGCGUGAGUGAUGAAGGCCUUAGGGUUGUAAAGCUCUUUUAUCCGGGACGAUAAUGACGGUACCGGAGGAAUAAGCCCCGGCUAACUUCGUG
rnacentral:rRNA from 1 species